rnacentral:rRNA from 1 species
AUACGUAGGUGGCAAGCGUUGUCCGGAAUUAUUGGGCGUAAAGCGCGCGCAGGUGGUUCCUUAAGUCUGAUGUGAAAGCCCCCGGCUCAACCGGGGAGGGUCAUUGGAAACUGGGGAACUUGAGUGCAGAAGAGGAUAGUGGAAUUCCAAGUGUAGCGGUGAAAUGCGUAGAGAUUUGGAGGAACACCAGUGGCGAAGGCGACUGUCUGGUCUGUAACUGACACUGAGGCGCGAAAGCGUGGGGAGCAAACAGGAUUAGAUACCCUGGUAGUCCACGCCGUAAACGAUGAGUGCUAAGUGUUGGGGGGUUUCCGCCCCUCAGUGCUGCAGCUAACGCAUUAAGCACUCCGCCUGGGGAGUACGGUCGCAAGACUGAAACUCAAAUGAAAUGACGGGG